GCUCAGGAUGAACGCUGGCGGCGUGCCUAAUACAUGCAAGUCGAGCGAACAGAUGAGAAGCUUGCUUCUCUGAUGUUAGCGGCGGACGGGUGAGUAACACGUGGGUAACCUACCUAUAAGACUGGGAUAACUCCGGGAAACCGGGGCUAAUACCGGAUAAUAUUUUGAACCGCAUGGUUCAAUAGUGAAAGACGGUUUCGGCUGUCACUUAUAGAUGGACCCGCGCCGUAUUAGCUAGUUGGUAAGGUAACGGCUUACCAAGGCGACGAUACGUAGCCGACCUGAGAGGGUGAUCGGCCACACUGGAACUGAGACACGGUCCAGACUCCUACGGGAGGCAGCAGUAGGGAAUCUUCCGCAAUGGGCGAAAGCCUGACGGAGCAACGCCGCGUGAGUGAUGAAGGUCUUCGGAUCGUAAAACUCUGUUGUUAGGGAAGAACAAAUUUGUUAGUAACUGAACAAGUCUGACG
rnacentral:rRNA from 1 species